AGCAGCCGCGGUAAUUCUAGCUCCAAUAGCGUAUAUUAAAGUUGUUGCAGCUAAAAAGCUCGUAGUUGAAUUUCGGGACCAAUAUGUCGGUCGUGCUUCGGUACGUACUUGCAUUAUUGGUUUCUCCCUUCUGAAGAACCAUGAUGUCAUUAAUUUGGUGUCUUGGGGAAUCAGGACUGCUACUUUGAAAAAAUUAGAGUGUUUAAAGCAGGCUCACGCUUGAAUACAUUAGCAUGGAAUAAUGAAAUAGGACCUUUGAUUCUAUUUUGUUGGUUUCUAGGAUCGACGUAAUGAUUAAUAGGGAUAGUUGGGGGCAUUAGUAUUCAAUUGUCAGAGGUGAAAUUCUUGGAUUUAUUGAGGACUAACUACUGCGAAAGCAUUUGCCAAGGAUGUUUUCAUUAAUCAAGAACGAAAGUUAGGGGGAUCGAAGACGAUCAGAUACCGUCGUAGUCUUAACCAUAAACUAUGCCGACUAGGGAUCGGAUGAUGUUAUUUUUGAUGA
rnacentral:rRNA from 1 species